UCCGACCGUCCGGUUUGGACCGGCCGCGGGCGGCUGACGGGGCGGAGGCCCUGAGGGGGCCGGGAGUGGCCGGGCUAGCGGAGGUGGGAGGUAGCGGCGGUGCGCUGGAACUACUCGUGGGUCGUUGGAGUGGUUCGAGUCGUUGGGACGGAAAAAAACGUGGUUUCUUGAGGGGAGCACAUUGCUGAGCUUUUAAUCCUUUUAUCCUGUUUGUCAUUUUAAUGGCCCACAGGUUUGAUUCCACAAGGAUAAGACAGAUCUAUUGUG